GCCACUCAACAGAUAUUACAUGAUUUUCUCAAUUUUUCGUCUGUGUUAAUUCAUUGAUUUAUUUGGUGAUAUGGCUUCUGGACACUUUUCUUUUCAAAACAUUUACAGAACCAUCCAUAAGGACCUGAGGAACAUAUCCUAUAGCCUCACCAUGAUCCACACCAUUUUUUAAGCAUUUAGGGGCUACUCAACAAGAAGUAGGUGAUUUUC
rnacentral:lncRNA from 1 species